rnacentral:lncRNA from 1 species
CCAAGUAGCACAAGGUGACUAUGAAAGGUGUCCAUCUUGCUUUGUGGGUGCCAUGGCAGGCUCUCCACAGAAGUGGCUGAGGAUUUGAGAUAAGGCCAGAGAGUGACAAGGAGCAGCACGUGCAGGGAUGGUUUCCAGGCGCUGCGGUGGCUUUCUCUUCUGUUCAUCAGGUGCCACAGGCAAGCUGUUGAAUGGGACGCUAUGCAAGUCUCUCACAUCCAGCCAAGAUGGACAAAGGAGAAGGACAAGAGGAAAGCCUGGGAGGAAGACUAUGAGCUUUCAGCGUGAGAGACCCCCAGAAGGACCACCGGAGACUGAUAACGCAUGCACCAGUGGGCAGGUUCGGAUUCUGGGAACUAAUUAUAAUAACCCUGCCUUUUCUAGAAGUAGUAAGGAAUAUGUAUUAGCCUAGGAGCAUAAAAACCGGCCGCCUGCUGUAACUUGUGUGCGUCUUGGUGGAGCAGAGACUCCCGGCGCACCCAGUGCUGCUUGCUUACCCCUAUUCAUUUAAUAAAUUGUAAACUUUAAUUGCAAUCCUAUUUGGGACCCAGUCAUUUAUUACAAUUGGGGGCUUGUCUGGGAGGGCUUUGGUUCCUGAAUUCUGAUUUGAUCCAGGAGAGGCGCCCCACCAUUUGGUGGCUGCUGUUCGAGUCGGGUCGGGACUAAUGGCAUCUUGAACCUGAAUAAAGGUAAGCAAAGUUUUUGAUUUUUUUUUUAGCUCCCUUGCCAGCUGCAGCACUAUAUUUUGCCUGUAAUUCUGCGUGUGAAGAGCUGAAGGACGACGACGGAGUCGUAAACAUUUAAAGCGUAUACUGUUCGGUUGGGUGGGAUUCGGUUGCCUGUGUGUGUAAGGGGACUUAGUUCCGAAGCGAUUGUGGAGGUCUUCUAACUGCGGUUCCAAUCUCCCAUGAGGGACUUGGCCGGUGAAGGACCGAAGCAAUUCCUAUAGGAUUUGUGGGUGGGUGAUAGGUCCUAAACCCUUUGCAAGACGCUCUUACUAAGGUAACCAAGGGCUGUGGAAAU